rnacentral:tRNA from 1 species
AUAUUGAAAUAAUAUUUAUUUAUAUAUUGAAAAUAUAUUGUUUUUUUAAACUACAUAAAU